ACAGUUCGGUCCCUAUCCACCGCGGGCGCAGGAGACUUGAGGGGAGCUGCUCCUAGUACGAGAGGACCGGAGUGGACGGACCUCUGGUGUACCGGUUGUCCUGCCAAGGGCACGUGCCGGGUAGCCAUGUCCGGACGGGAUAAGCGCUGAAAGCAUCUAAGCGCGAAGCCCACCCCAAGACGAGGUCUCCCACCGGGUCAACCGGGUAAGUCCCCUGGGAAAUGACCAGGUUGAUAGGCCGGAGGUGUAAGCGCUGAGAGGCGUUGAGCCUACCGGUACUAAUCGGACGAGGGCUUGAGCCC
rnacentral:rRNA from 1 species